rfam:Nicotiana attenuata strain TT chromosome 3, whole genome shotgun sequence.
UGACAGUGAUGUGGGCAUUCACUGAGCAGCUUCUUGUACCUUUCCCAAGCUUGAAGAAGAGUCUCACCAUCAUGUUGUUGGAACCCAAGAAUCUGGCUCCUCAGCGA